ensembl:snRNA U6 U6 spliceosomal RNA
UUGCUCAGUUAGGCAGCAUAUACACUAAAAUUGGAAUGGUACGGAGAAGAUUAGCAUGGCCCUGUGCAAGGAUGACACACAGCCUUCCAUAUUUUU